AGCGCUUUGGCAGUGUGGUUAGCUGGUUGUGUAACAUCAUUUAAAAUCACAGCCACUACCCACAUGCCGCGGCGAU
rfam:Glossina brevipalpis unplaced genomic scaffold Scaffold90, whole genome shotgun sequence.